UAUUAAAAAUUGUAAAUUGUUUUAUCUACCUAAGUAUUAUGAAUUAUUUAUUUAAAAUUUAAAGAACUUGGCGGUAUUUAUAGAUUAUUUAGGGGAACCUGUUUUUUAAUCGAUGAUCCUCGUUUUACCUUACCUUUUUUUGUUAUUAGUUUGUAUACCGUCGUCGUCAGUUAACAUUUGAAGAUUUUAAGAGUUGUCUUUAUAAAUUAUUAAUUUUAGAUGUCAGAUCAAGGUGCAGCUUAUAAAUUGGUUAAUAUGGGUUACAAUUAUUUAUUUAUAAUAUGAAUAAUUUUUUGAAAUUAUUAUUUGAAAGAGGACUUAAAAGUAAUUUAAUUUAGAUAUAUUUAAUGAAUUUUUUUCUUAAAUAUGUACACACCGCCCGUCACCCUCA
rnacentral:rRNA from 1 species